UGGGGAAUAUUGGACAAUGGGCGAAAGCCUGAUCCAGCCAUGCCGCAUGAGUGAAGAAGGCCUUUGGGUUGUAAAGCUCUUUUAGUGAGGAAGAUAAUGACGGUACUCACAGAAGAAGUCCUGGCUAACUCCGUGCCAGCAGCCGCGGUAAUACGGAGAGGGCUAGCGUUAUUCGGAAUUAUUGGGCGUAAAGGGCGCGUAGGCUGGUUAAUAAGUUAAAAGUGAAAUCCCGAGGCUUAACCUUGGAAUUGCUUUUAAAACUAUUAAUCUAGAGAUUGAAAGAUGAUAGAGGAAUUCCUGAUGUAGAGGUAAAAUUCGUAACUAUUAGGAGGAACACCAGUGGCGAAGGCGUCUAUCUGGUUCAAAUCUGACGCUGAAGCGCGAAGGCGUGGGGAGCAAACA
rnacentral:rRNA from 1 species